GAGCCGCGAAUAGCUCAUUACAACAGCCACUGUUUAUUAGAAUAUCGUUAUCCUACUUGGAUAACUGUGGCAAUUCUAGAGCUAAUACAUGCAAAAAAGCUCUGCCCGCAAGGAACGAGCGCAUUUAUUAGAAUAAAAACCAAUCGGCUCUCGGGCCGUCAUUUGGUGAAUCUGAAUAACUUUGCCAAUCGCACAGUCCUAGUACUGGCGAUGUAUCUUUCAAGUGUCUGCCUUAUCAACUUUCGAUGGUAGGUUAUACGCCUACCAUGGUAGUAACGGGUAACGGAGAAUAAGGGUUCGACUCCGGAGAGGGAGCCUGAGAAACGGCUACCACAUCCAAGGAAGGCAGCAGGCGCGCAAAUUACCCACUUCCAGAACGGAGAGGUAGUGACGAAAAAUAACGAGACAGUCCUCUUCGAGGUCUGUCAUCGGAAUGGGUACAAUUUAAAUCCUUUAACGAGGAUCUAUUGGAGGGCAAGUCUGGUGCCAGCAGCCGCGGUAAUUCCAGCUCCAAUAGCGUAUAUUAAAGUUGUUGCGGUUAAAACGCUCGUAGUUGGAUCUGCGGCCGCGGAGGACGGUCCCCCGAAAGGGUGGUCACUGUCUCUCCUAGCCUAAAUUCGAGUCGUCUCUAGGUGCUCUUUACUGAGUGCCUAGAGUGACUAGAACGUUUACUUUGAAAAAAUUAGAGUGCUUAAAGCAGGCGAAAUAGCCUGAAUAAGGUGCAUGGAAUAAUGGAAUAGGACCUCGGUUCUAUUUUGUUGGUUUUCGGAGCCUGAGGUAAUGAUUAAGAGGAACAGACGGGGGCAUUCGUAUUCCGGCGCUAGAGGUGAAAUUCUUGGACCGCCGGAAGACGGA
rnacentral:rRNA from 1 species